UACGUAGGUGGCAAGCGUUGUCCGGAAUUAUUGGGCGUAAAGCGCGCGCAGGCGGUCCUUUAAGUCUGAUGUGAAAGCCCACGGCUCAACCGUGGAGGGUCAUUGGAAACUGGGGGACUUGAGUGCAGGAGAGAAGAGUGGAAUUCCACGUGUAGCGGUGAAAUGCGUAGAGAUGUGGAGGAACACCAGUGGCGAAGGCGACUCUUUGGCCUGUAACUGACGCUGAGGCGCGACAGCGUGG
rnacentral:rRNA from 1 species